GGCUGGAUAAGGUAGUGAUUGUUGUUGAACUGUUUUCCCAUCUUCACUGUUUUGUUUUACCUGGCUUGAAGCCUAUGACGCUUAAAGAUCUCUUUCCCAAGGCUACAGCCUACUGGCUUUUUCAAGAAUUAGAAUCAGCCUAAUUUUAAAUACAUUAAUAACACUCCAAAACUGCUCCUGUGACGACAGUACCACUGAUUCCUGGUUGUCAGCUGUCACAACUGUAUCUCUUUAAGUCUUGCAAUGGGUUGAGUGUGUCUCUUCCCACAGCCUGUCAUAGCUACCAGACUGAAUCUUCGUUUGAAUUUGUCAUCUCUUCCUAUCUCUGCCAAUUUCUGAUUUUAGGCAGUUAGUGUUUAAUGCCAUAUUUGAAUUAGAACGAGUGGAAGAGAUCAAUCACAUUUCUGUCUCUUGCUGGCUCCCAGAAUAUUCUGCCACUGGGUUUUCCAUAGUCUACAAACACGACUUACCAUAGGGAAGCAAACCAGAAUUUGUGUUCUCAGUUGCUCCUUGCCAUUCCUGGGCUCCAUUCACACUUCUAUCACAUUACGCAUAACCCUUAAUUGUAUUUAUUGGUUUGCAUUUUUGUCUUUUUCAGUAGAGGAUAGGCUCCUGAAGAUCAGUUCUAUUCCAUUCUGAUUGAAGUCGCCUCACCUAGCUUAGUUCUUGGUUUGCAGUAAUGAUCAAAAAUGCUUACAGAAUGAAUCAAUGUGUAAAUGAAAGGAUUACAAAGUUGUUUGGUAGGGUGUUUUGUAGGAAAAUAUAUGUAAGGCUGAAAUGAAAGCAAUUAAUAUGUCUUAUGGCCCCUCUGAAUUUCCUAGCGUCCAGCUUGAGGGGGACCCUCCUGACUGGGAACCAUGACCUGGUCACUUAUCUGUCAUCACAAAAAAGUUUUGGAUCUGGAAAGACAAAGAUUUACUGAAAGACUAAGGAUUCUACCGACUUUUGCCCUGAGGCUCGAGGGACCUCUCAGGAUGGUACUAGCUCACUCAGUUUGCAGACAGGUCAGUUGCUGCAUUCUGGCAUCCAGGAAUCCAGGACACUGAUUUUGGACCCUCUGUUGUUUACCUUCCAAGAAGGAAUUGGCUGAUUCGGAACUGCUUGGCUAUUUACAAAAGUUAGACGCUGUUGUUUACAGUGAAGUUUUCCUCACUGGAUGGGACUUCGUCCCUAUUUAUUUUGCAUUGAUAUGGACUGCUCACUACAACAUUAGCUGCUGCAUGCUUCAUAAUGAGACUGGACUGUUCAUGGGUAAGGAGAUAAUGUGUGCUGGGAGUUGAAAGCUGUACUACUGAUGGCAGGGGAAGAUUUUUGGUCACGCUGCACCGUACAGCUUAAUAGAUUCCUGAUAUUUUUGGAGGCUGAUUUUACCAUCAAAGAAUUCACCCAAGAUGAAGAAAGAAGAAAUAGGUAUGUGCUACGGAAGGAGCCAAGUGAUUCUGCUUUCUCCAGUCAUUUUGAGGGUUAAGUACCUCUUUUUUCAAUAUUUAUAAGUGAGAUCAAGUAAUAAAGUACAUUAGCUGAAUAUGCAAACUAAGAAUGGAUAAAGCGAUAAAAUUUCAACGGCAAACAGCAUAAAUCUAGGGCUAACCUCUGCACAGAGGAGCAAGCAGUGCUCUCUGAGUUAUGGGUUCCAUAAACAACUCAGGUGUUCCAGCAGCUGCAUCCUCAGCCUGGGCCAUCAGCACAUAAGGUCUCUUUGUGAUGAACCUGAAUAGAUACCAGGUAGAGGUCAAAGUCCCAACAACCUGAAGGCUCAGGCCUUUUAGUUUAGCGGUAAAGUCCUAAUGCAGGGGAGCGCGUCUCAACAAACUGAAGGAGACUCCGCUGAGCUCUCUGCUGGGGAGGAUCCUAAAUGGCCAAAGAAAUAUAUCCAAACAGCACUGCUCUGCUAUUUUAAUCCUCCAAAGAAUUCUCCUUGGACCAACACCAAAGAGUCAAACAAUAAGUUUUAAAACUUACUUUUCUCUUAAAUUUGAACUAAAAAAAAGGUGGAAGAUCCAAAACUAUGUGGAAAGUAAGAUUUAUUUGCAUUAUGUAGAAUUUAAAAUUAUACACGCACAUAUCGAAAUCUCUCUCUGAAUGAAGUUAUGGGUGGAUUUUAUCUUCUAAUUUAUUUUAAAAAAUUAACACAAAGGAUUUACGGUCCUUAUAAUCAGAAAAUAAGAGCAUUAUUCUAUCAUUGCUGUUAUACACACACGUAGAAUGUUGACAUUUAUCCAAAUAAUUAUCUUGAUUUUUUCAGCUUGCAUCACUAUAUGAAACAGACAAAGGGCAAUUUAAAUUCCAUUUUGAAACCCAAAUUAAUAAUGUGCUACAUUUUAUUACUUACUUUUAAAAUUUUACGGUGGACCUAUAAAGCAUACAUAUGCCUUAAUAGUCAUCUAUUAUUUCUUCUGAUAUGAAAUAGUACUUUAAUCAGAAAUGUCUUCUCUUUAAAUUAAGGAUAUAAAUCUUGCUAGAAUUUUAUCCUGUUGUCAUAUAAAGCCAUCAGAUUCAACACUUGAUGAAUACUGAUAGCAAUGUACUACUUGGAGUUUGAUAAAAAGAUGAAACUUAUUUCACACAAAUGUGCUAAAUGGUACUAAUGCAUUCUCCAAUAUGUUUGACUCUAUGAGAUUUGAGAUAUCCGAUGGCUACGUGACAUGAAAGAAGUGGUCUAAGUGCUAAAUAGUAGCUGCCCAACUGAAGACAUGAAGAUUCACCCACAGCAGAAGGAACAAUCAAACAAAUUUACAAACCUCUUGGAUUUAUAACAGAUGCAUAGCUUUUUUACAAGAUUAAAUUAACUUAAUAUAGAACUCUACCUGCUUAAUAAAACAAAGUUUCUGCGUUAAUGUUCCUUUCAAGGCAAUCUGAAAAUUAUGCCUUCUCACAAACCUAAGAAGAAAGAUGUACUGGAUUUAUCUGAACCCCCUAGAGCACAUCCUCAUAUUUUGGGGUUAUAAAAAAAAUAAAGCAGAUCCUUAGUGGACUGAGGGAGCUAAAAUUAGGAGGAGGAGAGCAGUACCAUGCCUGCCACAGCAGGAAAGGGCCCUGUCUCAACUCCAAGUUACUCAAUAUGAACAGCCAACUGAACUAGGGUAGGAAAAAAUCACAAUUUGAAAACAUUUCCGUAAAGUGAAUUUAGUUAUAUGGUCUUCAUAUAACCGUUCUCAUAUCAGAAGAAGCGGUUAAUGACUGUCUAAAUGUCUGCUACAGACCAUAAUUUAAGAAUUUCUUUAUAUUUAUGCUAAAAAACAUUGUAUAAAUCGACUUCACUAAUGUGUGCAUAGCAAAAACCAUAUUUCCCUCUUUUAGAAUACAGCGAAAAAUAUAUGAAACCAUUUUUGUUAAUUUAAGAACUUUCUAGUACUCUUAGACAUGAAAGUAAAACUGAAUAGCAAUGAGUAGUUUAUAUGCUGGUAUGGUAUUUUGUAUUGAAGUUCUUCAAUUUGAUAUCUCCACGACUAUAAGAAUAGUUUACUAAUAUUGCUAUAUAUGUAGUUUUAUGAGUUUCUAUAGAUUUUCCUCUAACUGAUUAAGGAAAACUCAAGGUCAAUCUACUCAUACAUAAUAACGAGUGUUGGUUUCAUUUCAUGGAUAAGUGUUCAUGUUUGAUAUUUCAGAACUCAAAACAGAAAGAUCUCAAGACCUAUAUUUCCUUUUCAUGUUAGCACAAUCUGCAGUUGUUAGGAGAGCUGUCAAUCUCUUCUUAAUACAUUCAAGUCCUUUGGAGAAAAGCACAGGCCAAAGGGGAAAACCCACGGUGGAAAAUUUCUGAAGCGAAGCUUAUUAUAGAGAAGGCUGAAUGGUAGUCAAAGGUAAAUUUCUAAAGGGAUCUGAUUAACAUUGCUCCAUCAAAUAAGAACCAGAGAAUAAGCCAUUAAUUUUAUGGCAUUUUUUCCCCCUUCUACUGUUUUUUCAUAAGUUGGACUUCCUUCCAGGUUAAUUAACCACUAAACAUUUUACAAGCAAUCCAAGUACGGAAGCAGUAAAAGAUAAAUUGCACUUACGAAGUAAUUGACAAAGGGUAUAUUGGGCAUUUUAAGCAAUGAUCGUGCGCAUCCUAAUACCGGAAGAAAGGCUUAUGUACUGCCAUUUGACAGAUCAUUAGUUAAUCUCAGACCUCAGCAUCAAAUAAUAGAGACUCCAGGCUCAGAUGAACCUACCCACACUAGGUAGGGGUAACCUAGUGCAAAGAGCUUCUGAGAAAACAGUGUUCUUGCCUUGGUAUUAUCAAAAUACCCCUGGUGUUAUCUCAGAUGAAUUCCCUAGUGACUUUAUUUUCUUUUGACAGUAAAGUUAGAGCUGACAAACCAAGGCAGUUCUCAGAGAAAUUCAAUUACUGAAAUGUCUGACAGCUUGCAUUGCUUCUUAGUAAAGUUUCCAAAGUUGCUUGCAGCAUGUAUAAUGUAGUUUACUUGUCAAGUCAUGCACUGUAUUUUAUAAAUAAAAUUAAAAAAUGCUAUCAAAAGAUAUAAAUUUCAGAA